rnacentral:rRNA from 1 species
CGGAAUAGGAAGUCCCACGCGUAAAGCGCAUGCAGGUGGUUUGUUAAGUCAGAUGUGAAAGCCCGGGGCUCAACCUCGGAAUUGCAUUUGAAACUGGCAGACUAGAGUACUGUAGAGGGGGGUAGAAUUUCAGGUGUAGCGGUGAAAUGCGUAGAGAUCUGAAGGAAUACCGGUGGCGAAGGCGGCCCCCUGGACAGAUACUGACACUCAGAUGCGAAAGCGUGGGGAGCAAACAGGAUUAGAUACCCUGGU